GACGAACGCUGGCGGUGCGCCUAACACAUGCAAGUCGAACGGUGAACCGGGCUUCGGCCCGGGGAUCAGUGGCGAACGGGUGCGUAACACGUGGGCAACCUGCCCCCGACCCUGGGAUAACCCCGGGAAACCGGAGCUAAUACCGGAUACUCUCCUCUGACCACCUGGUCGGAUGAGGAAAGGUCCGCCGGUCGGGGAUGGGCCCGCGGCCUAUCAGCUUGUUGGUGGGGUAACGGCCUACCAAGGCAUCGACGGGUAGCUGGCUGAGAGGACGACCAGCCACACUGGGACUGAGACACGGCCCAGACUCCUACGGGAGGCAGCAGUGGGGAAUCUUGCGCAAUGGGCGAAAGCCUGACGCAGCGACACCGCGUGGGGGAUGAAGGCCUUUCAGGUCGUAAACCCCUUUCGGCAGGGACGAAGCGAUCACUCGUGACGGUACCUGCAGAAGAAGCCUCGGCUAACUACGUGCCAGCAGCCGCCGCAGUAA
rnacentral:rRNA from 1 species